AGAGUUUGAUCCUGGCUCAGGAUGAACGCUGGCGGCGUGCCUAACACAUGCAAGUCGAGCGAGAAAGUCUUGAUUGAAGCUUCGGCAGAAAGAAAGACCGGACAGCGGCGGACGGGUGAGUAACGCGUAGGUAACCUACCUUAUGCACAGGGAUAGCCCCGGGAAACUGGAAUUAAUACCUGAUAAUGCGAUUGGUCUGCAUAGAUCUGAUCGCCAAAGAACUUCGGCAUAAGAUGGACCUGCGUCUGAUUAGAUAGUUGGUGAGGUAACGGCUCACCAAGUCGACGAUCAGUAGCCGGCCUGAGAGGGUGAACGGCCACAUUGGGACUGAGACACGGCCCAAACUCCUACGGGAGGCAGCAGUGGGGGAUAUUGCACAAUGGGGGGAACCCUGAUGCAGCGACGCCGCGUGAGUGAAGAAGUAUUUCGGUAUGUAAAGCUCUAUCAGCAGGGAAGAUAAUGACGGUACCUGACUAAGAAGCACCGGCUAAAUACGUGCCAGCAGCCGCGGUAAUACGUAUGGUGCAAGCGUUAUCCGGAUUUACUGGGUGUAAAGGGAGCGUAGACGGCAAGGCAAGCCAGAUGUGAAAGGCUGGGGCUCAACCCCGGGACUGCAUUUGGAACUGUCUGGCUAGAGUAUCGGAGAGGUAAGUGGAAUUCCUAGUGUAGCGGUGAAAUGCGUAGAUAUUAGGAGGAACACCAGUGGCGAAGGCGGCUUACUGGACGAUAACUGACGUUGAGGCUCGAAAGCGUGGGGAGCAAACAGGAUUAGAUACCCUGGUAGUCCACGCGGUAAACGAUGAAUACUAGGUGUUGGGGGUCGAUAGACCUUCGGUGCCGCAGCAAACGCAAUAAGUAUUCCACCUGGGGAGUACGUUCGCAAGAAUGAAACUCAAAGGAAUUGACGGGGACCCGCACAAGCGGUGGAGCAUGUGGUUUAAUUCGAAGCAACGCGAAGAACCUUACCAAGUCUUGACAUCCUUCUGACCAUAAGGGUAACGCCUUAUUCUCUUCGGAGCAGAAGUGACAGGUGGUGCAUGGUUGUCGUCAGCUCGUGUCGUGAGAUGUUGGGUUAAGUCCCGCAACGAGCGCAACCCUUGUCUUUAGUAGCCAGCAUUUCGGAUGGGCACUCUAGAGAGACUGCCAGGGAUAACCUGGAGGAAGGUGGGGAUGACGUCAAAUCAUCAUGCCCCUUAUGAUUUGGGCUACACACGUGCUACAAUGGCGUAAACAAAGUGAAGCGAGCCCGCGAGGGGGAGCAAAUCACAGAAAAUGCGUCUCAGUUCGGAUUGUAGUCUGCAACUCGACUACAUGAAGCUGGAAUCGCUAGUAAUCGCGAAUCAGAAUGUCGCGGUGAAUACGUUCCCGGGUCUUGCACACACCGCCCGUCA
rnacentral:rRNA from 1 species